CAACUCGGACGGUGGUCCUCCUCCGCUUUCUCAUCCUACAUUCGCCCUGACCUCAAUGCCGUGCUGGCUAUCCAAAGGUCUCUCCAACCUUAAAAUUGAUUUCCACUGCAUCCCACAAGCUGUCUUCCAGGUGUCAACGCGCAACCCUCCUCCACCCCUUCACCUUCUGCUUUCAACUCAGGGCCAAGCUUAACCUUCUCCCUUCCAACCAGACCUAAACACUUAUCACCACCACCAGUGUCUAGACCCAGG